AUGACCUUCCAAGUUUUAUAAAGAAGAAGAUGAAAUUAUUUGCGUUUCAAUUCGAACAAUUCUUCUCAGUGUAGCUUAGCUGUACUUGAGGUUUUGAUGGAGAAUGUGGUUCCUGCGCAGCUUUUUAAUCUUGUUACAUUCAAUGAAUGCUCAAGGACACUUUUUAGAAAAUUCUGAUUCUU
rnacentral:snoRNA from 1 species